AGGACAAACGCUGGCGGGGUGCAUGAGACAUGCAAGUCGAACGAGGUGCCAUCGGGCUUGCUCGAUGGUUACCUAGUGGCGGACGGCUGAGUAACGCGUAGGUGACCUACCCGGAAGUGGGGAAUAACUGCCCGAAAGGGUGGCUAAUACCGCAUGUGGUCGGCGAUUCGAUUCGCCGUCUAAAGGAGCAAUUCGCUUCCGGAGGGGCCUGCGUCCGAUUAGCUAGUUGGUGGGGUAACGGCUCACCAAGGCGACGAUCGGUAGCUGGUCUGAGAGGAUGAUCAGCCAGACUGGGACUGAGAACGGCCCAGACUCCUACGGGAGGCAGCAGCCGGGAAUUUUGCCCAAUGGACGAAAGUCUGAGGCAGCAACUCCGCGUGAGGGAUGAAGGCUCUCGGGUCGUAAACCUCUUUUCUCAGGGAAGAUCCAAGACGGUACCUGAGGAAUAAGCGACGGCUAACUACGUGCCAGCAGCCGC
rnacentral:rRNA from 1 species